rnacentral:rRNA from 1 species
UGGAUCCAGACUUUGAUUUGGCUCAGGAUGAACGCUAGCUACAGGCUUAACACAUUGCAAGUCGAGGGGAAACGAUAGAGAAAGCUGCUUUUUCUAGGCGUCGACCGGCGCACGGGUGAGUAACGCGUAUCCAACCUGCCCAUCACUUGGGGAUAACCUUGCGAAAGUAAGACUAAUACCCAAUGACGUCUCUAGAAGACAUCUGAAAGAGAUUAAAGAUUUAUCGGUGAUGGAUGGGGAUGCGUCUGAUUAGCUUGUUGGCGGGGUAACGGCCCACCAAGGCGACGAUCAGUAGGGGUUCUGAGAGGAAGGUCCCCCACAUUGGAACUGAGACACGGCCAAACUCCUACGGGAGGCAGCAGUGAGGAAUAUUGGUCAAUGGACGAGAGUCUGAACCAGCCAAGUAGCGUGCAGGAUGACGGCCCUAUGGGUUGUAAACUGCUUUUAUAAGGGAAUAAAGUGGGAGUCGUGACUCCUUUUGCAUGUACCUUAUGAAUAAGGACCGGCUAAUUCCGUGCCAGCAGCCGCGGUAAUACGGAAGGUCCGGGCGUUAUCCGGAUUUAUUGGGUUUAAAGGGAGCGUAGGCCGGAGAUUAAGCGUGUUGUGAAAUGUAGACGCUCAACGUCUGCACUGCAGCGCGAACUGGUUUCCUUGAGUACGCACAAAGUGGGCGGAAUUCGUGGUGUAGCGGUGAAAUGCUUAGAUAUCACGAAGAACUCCGAUUGCGAAGGCAGCUCACUGGAGCGCAACUGACGCUGAAGCUCGAAAGUGCGGGUAUCGAACAGGAUUAGAUACCCUGGUAGUCCGCACGGUAAACGAUGGAUGCCCGCUGUUGGUCUGAAUAGGUCAGCGGCC